GGUUAAGCGACUAAGCGUACACGGUGGAUGCCCUGGCAGUCAGAGGCGAUGAAGGACGUGCUAAUCUGCGAUAAGCGUCGGUAAGGUGAUAUGAACCGUUAUAACCGGCGAUUUCCGAAUGGGGAAACCCAGUGUGAUUCGUCACACUAUCAUUAACUGAAUCCAUAGGUUAAUGAGGCGAACCGGGGGAACUGAAACAUCUAAGUACCCCGAGGAAAAGAAAUCAACCGAGAUUCCCCCAGUAGCGGCGAGCGAACGGGGAGGAGCCCAGAGCCUGAAUCAGUGUGUGUGUUAGUGGAAGCGUCUGGAAAGGCGCGCGAUACAGGGUGACAGCCCCGUACACAAAAAUGCACAUAUUGUGAGCUCGAUGAGUAGGGCGGGACACGUGGUAUCCUGUCUGAAUAUGGGGGGACCAUCCUCCAAGGCUAAAUACUCCUGACUGACCGAUAGUGAACCAGUACCGUGAGGGAAAGGCGAAAAGAACCCCGGCGAGGGGAGUGAAAAAGAACCUGAAACCGUGUACGUACAAGCAGUGGGAGCACGCUUAGGCGUGUGACUGCGUACCUUUUGUAUAAUGGGUCAGCGACUUAUAUUCUGUAGCAAGGUUAACCGAAUAGGGGAGCCGAAGGGAAACCGAGUCUUAACUGGGCGUUAAGUUGCAGGGUAUAGACCCGAAACCCGGUGAUCUAGCCAUGGGCAGGUUGAAGGUUGGGUAACACUAACUGGAGGACCGAACCGACUAAUGUUGAAAAAUUAGCGGAUGACUUGUGGCUGGGGGUGAAAGGCCAAUCAAACCGGGAGAUAGCUGGUUCUCCCCGAAAGCUAUUUAGGUAGCGCCUCGUGAAUUCAUCUCCGGGGGUAGAGCACUGUUUCGGCAAGGGGGUCAUCCCGACUUACCAACCCGAUGCAAACUGCGAAUACCGGAGAAUGUUAUCACGGGAGACACACGGCGGGUGCUAACGUCCGUCGUGAAGAGGGAAACAACCCAGACCGCCAGCUAAGGUCCCAAAGUCAUGGUUAAGUGGGAAACGAUGUGGGAAGGCCCAGACAGCCAGGAUGUUGGCUUAGAAGCAGCCAUCAUUUAAAGAAAGCGUAAUAGCUCACUGGUCGAGUCGGCCUGCGCGGAAGAUGUAACGGGGCUAAACCAUGCACCGAAGCUGCGGCAGCGACGCUUAUGCGUUGUUGGGUAGGGGAGCGUUCUGUAAGCCUGCGAAGGUGUGCUGUGAGGCAUGCUGGAGGUAUCAGAAGUGCGAAUGCUGACAUAAGUAACGAUAAAGCGGGUGAAAAGCCCGCUCGCCGGAAGACCAAGGGUUCCUGUCCAACGUUAAUCGGGGCAGGGUGAGUCGACCCCUAAGGCGAGGCCGAAAGGCGUAGUCGAUGGGAAACAGGUUAAUAUUCCUGUACUUGGUGUUACUGCGAAGGGGGGACGGAGAAGGCUAUGUUGGCCGGGCGACGGUUGUCCCGGUUUAAGCGUGUAGGCUGGUUUUCCAGGCAAAUCCGGAAAAUCAAGGCUGAGGCGUGAUGACGAGGCACUACGGUGCUGAAGCAACAAAUGCCCUGCUUCCAGGAAAAGCCUCUAAGCAUCAGGUAACAUCAAAUCGUACCCCAAACCGACACAGGUGGUCAGGUAGAGAAUACCAAGGCGCUUGAGAGAACUCGGGUGAAGGAACUAGGCAAAAUGGUGCCGUAACUUCGGGAGAAGGCACGCUGAUAUGUAGGUGAAGUCCCUUGCGGAUGGAGCUGAAAUCAGUCGAAGAUACCAGCUGGCUGCAACUGUUUAUUAAAAACACAGCACUGUGCAAACACGAAAGUGGACGUAUACGGUGUGACGCCUGCCCGGUGCCGGAAGGUUAAUUGAUGGGGUUAGCGCAAGCGAAGCUCUUGAUCGAAGCCCCGGUAAACGGCGGCCGUAACUAUAACGGUCCUAAGGUAGCGAAAUUCCUUGUCGGGUAAGUUCCGACCUGCACGAAUGGCGUAAUGAUGGCCAGGCUGUCUCCACCCGAGACUCAGUGAAAUUGAACUCGCUGUGAAGAUGCAGUGUACCCGCGGCAAGACGGAAAGACCCCGUGAACCUUUACUAUAGCUUGACACUGAACAUUGAGCCUUGAUGUGUAGGAUAGGUGGGAGGCUUUGAAGUGUGGACGCCAGUCUGCAUGGAGCCGACCUUGAAAUACCACCCUUUAAUGUUUGAUGUUCUAACGUGGACCCGUAAUCCGGGUUGCGGACAGUGUCUGGUGGGUAGUUUGACUGGGGCGGUCUCCUCCUAAAGAGUAACGGAGGAGCACGAAGGUUGGCUAAUCCUGGUCGGACAUCAGGAGGUUAGUGCAAUGGCAUAAGCCAGCUUGACUGCGAGCGUGACGGCGCGAGCAGGUGCGAAAGCAGGUCAUAGUGAUCCGGUGGUUCUGAAUGGAAGGGCCAUCGCUCAACGGAUAAAAGGUACUCCGGGGAUAACAGGCUGAUACCGCCCAAGAGUUCAUAUCGACGGCGGUGUUUGGCACCUCGAUGUCGGCUCAUCACAUCCUGGGGCUGAAGUAGGUCCCAAGGGUAUGGCUGUUCGCCAUUUAAAGUGGUACGCGAGCUGGGUUUAGAACGUCGUGAGACAGUUCGGUCCCUA
rnacentral:rRNA from 1 species